GAUGAAGAACGUAGCGAAAUGCGAUAAGUAGUGUGAAUUGCAGAAUUCAGUGAAUCAUCGAAUCUUUGAACGCACAUUGCGCCCUUUGGUAUUCCAAAGGGCAUGCCUGUUCGAGCGUCAUUUGUACCCUCAAGCUUUGCUUGGUGUUGGGCGUCUUGUCUCUAGCUUUGCUGGAGACUCGCAUUAAAGUAAUUGGCAGCCGGCCUACUGGUUUCGGAGCGCAGCACAAGUCGCACUCUCUAUCAGCAAAGGUCUAGCAUCCAUUAAGCCUUUUUUUCAACUUUUGACCUCGGAUCAGGUAGGGAUACCCGCUGAACUUAAGCAUAUCAAUAAGCGGAGGA
rnacentral:misc_RNA from 1 species